AGUAAUAUAUCGGAACGUGCCCAGUAAUGGGGGAUAGCCCGGCGAAAGCCGGAUUAAUACCGCAUACGACCUACGGGUGAAAGCAGGGGAUCGCAAGACCUUGCGUUAUUGGAGCGGCCGAUAUCAGAUUAGCUUGUUGGUGGGGUAAAAGCCCACCAAGGCGACGAUCUGUAGCUGGUCUGAGAGGACGACCAGCCACACUGGGACUGAGACACGGCCAG
rnacentral:rRNA from 1 species